GGACUACUGGGGUAUCUAAUCCUGUUUGCUACCCACGCUUUCGUGCCUCAGCGUCAGUCGUGGUCCAGUAAGCCGUCUACACCACCGGUGUUCCUCCUGAUAUCUACGCAUUUCACCGCUACACCAGGAAUUCCGCUUACCUCUCCCACACUCAAGCCUACCAGUUUCCACCGCACCCUCCCAGUUAAGCCGGGAGAUUUCACAGCAGACUUGGUAAACCGCCUACGCACUCUUUACGCCCAGUAACUCCGAACAACGCUUGCUGCCUACGUAUUACCGCGGCUGCUGGCAC
rnacentral:rRNA from 1 species